AUGGAAGCCAUUUUCUUGGUACGACAACUUAUGGAGAGAUAUAGGGAGCAAAAGAAGGACUUGCAUAUGGUGUUCAUUGACUUGGAGAAGGCCUAUGAUAAGAUACCGCGAAAUGUCAUGUGGUGGGCCUUGGAGAAACACAAAGUCCCAACAAAGUACAUUAACCUCAUCAAGGACAUGUACGAUAAUGUUGUGACAAGUGUUCGAACAAGUGAUGUCGACACUCAUGACUUCUCGAUUAAGAUAGGACUGCAUCAGGGGUCAGCUUUGAGCCCUUAUCUUUUUGCAUUGGUGAUGGAUGAGGUCACAAGGAAUAUACAAGGAGAUAUCCCAUGGUGUAUGCCCUUUGCGGAUGAUGUGGUGCUAGUUGACGAUAGUCGGACGGGGGUAAAUAGGAAGUUAGAGUUAUGGAGACAAACCUUGAAAUCGAAAGGGUUUAGGCUUAGUAGAACUAAAACCGAGUACAUGAUGUGCGGUUUCAGUACUACUAGGUGUGAGGAGGAGGUUAGCCUUGAUGGCCAGGUGGUACCUCAGAAGGACACCUUUCGGUAUUUUGGGUCAAUGCUGCAGGAGGAUGGGGGUAUUGAUGAAGAUGUGAACCAUCGAAUCAAAGUCGGAUGGAUGAAGUGGCGCCAAGCUUCUAGCAUUCUCUGUGACAAUAGAGUGCCAUAA
rnacentral:rRNA from 1 species